CUGUCAGAGUGUCAGGUUAGUAUAUUUGCAAUUUUAUCCCUAACGUAACCGGAGAAAUCCUUAAAAGCGGGUUAGCUCAACGAGUUGUCAAGUACUGUUCGAGUGGAAAGUUUAGCAGAUUAGCUCAAGAAAUUGCUGCGAGCGACCGAAUUCGUGAGCGGUGAAGAAAUGCUGCGGAGAAGGCCGAGCAAGAUCGAAGUCAAAAUUGAGGACAAAGUUGAACUUGAAGAAGCACGCAAACGCGCCGCCGCCGCCGCCGCUGCUGCUGCCGUCACCACUUCCACAUCCUCUUCAACUGCCACUGGCGCCACCUCUCUCCUCCACCACUUCGAUAGAUCCGCCGUGGAUCCCUCCUCCAAAUCCCACGGCAUCGGUCUCUCCUCCUAAUUGUAUGCCAAGGUUGAUGGAUAUGUGGUGAAGUAAUUCUCGGAGGAGAAUGCCAUGGAUCAUACAUAUCCAGAGAAUUCCAAGUUCCAAUCUUUCAUGAAAUAAAAACUUUAGUAAGUGAAUCAAAACAAUUUCUAUCAUGUUUCUGGUUUCUCGAACUCUGAUAGGAUAUAUAUGCUAAAGAGCCGAGCCUGCAAGACCUUCAUGUAGUUUUCUACGAAUUGAAUAUCCAUUUUGCAAUAUUUGAAAUGUUAGUAAAUCAAGUUUUCAUCU